rnacentral:tRNA from 1 species
GGAGGGAUGGGUGAGUGGCUUAAACCAACAGUUUGCUAAACUGUCGUGCGGGCAACUGCACCGGGGGUUCGAAUCCCCCUCCCUCCGCCA